rnacentral:lncRNA from 1 species
GUACAAUCAUAUGCAGAAGAAAAUAUUUAUUUUGACUCAGAAGGCAAAGGGAUUAAGAGAACAUUGUAUUAACCUUGCCUUUCAUCUAUGUUUUAAAGGGAAAUUCUCCAGAGGCAUCUAUUGAAGUUCUAUUUUUUUUUUUUUAUAAAGACUAUCAAAGACUUUUAGGAAACCAGGUGUGUGUUUAUCUGAGGGGAGGAGAGAAAGGGAAGAAACUAUAUUGAAGGAAAAGGCAGCUUCACAAAGCUGCUUCAGAGACUGCAGAGAUGUUAUGUGCAGAAAUCUGUUACAGACAUUCCUAACAGCCAGCUCCUCCCCCCGCCCCUUUUUCUUCUGCCGCUUGGAAACAAUAUAGCUUUUUUCCAAGCAGGUUGUUAUCAUAUUCAUGGCAUGGUCAAUUUCCGUUUGCCAAGAAAAUAUUUAAGCUGAUCAAAGAAAUUAGAAAAUCGACUGAAUAGAAACAGACGUUCCCACAAGAGAAGCGUUUCUCAAUGUGAAGAGGCAGGCGGAUUGCAGCCCACCCAGUUACUCCUAGGAAAUUGCUCUGUUGCCGAAGACGGAACUACAGGGCCACCUAAAUUCUGCUGGAAGGGCUAUGGAAUGGGAGAGUCGCUACUCCCCAAGAGAUUCACAUGGCGGCUGGAGCUUGAGACUCUCUGGUGGCAGACGUAACAGCAAGUGGAUGGGAAAGAACCUUGACAACACAAAACUCAUUUACUAAUGGACUGGUUUUGAGUUUCUCUUCUCGGGGUCCGCAAAUCUCCCUGCCUGAGCCCUCGGCCUAUUCAGACCUCGCGGGGAGCAGCGUCCCCCCAGGAGGCAGGUGGGCGGCUUCUCCCGCCGCGGCGCCGCGCUGGCCGUCGGAUCCCGGGAUCCCAAGGGUCGAGGGCACCCGGAGUUUCCGACCAAGCGGAGGAAAAAGAUGAAUGUUGUCACUUCAGCCAGGAUUUGGGGAGUCUCCUCACUGCCCUAGAGCGACGACGCUAAUUUAUUGAAGAAGCACCUCUCGAUGCUCUUUCCUUCCAAGUAUCUGUAGGUAGAGUAGGAUCCCCGCUGUGGUUCUUGAAGGCAAAGGAAUUCCGAGAAAGCAGGGCCGGGAGACCCAGUGCAUCUCUCUCCAAGCCAUAAGAGAAACAAGUGGGUUCCACACAGAAAUUUUUGAGCUGAGGCCUUAUAUCGAUCCCGCCGAGAAAUCCCACCAGCAACUAG